rnacentral:rRNA from 1 species
UAGCUUGCUACUGAUCUUAGCGGCGGACGGGUGAGUAAUGCUUAGGAAUCUGCCUAUUAGUGGGGGACAACAUUUCGAAAGGAAUGCUAAUACCGCAUACGUCCUACGGGAGAAAGCAGGGGAUCUUCGGACCUUGCGCUAAUAGAUGAGCCUAAGUCGGAUUAGCUAGUUGGUGGGGUAAAGGCCUACCAAGGCGACGAUCUGUAGCGGGUCUGAGAGGAUGAUCCGCCACACUGGGACUGAGACACGGCCCAGACUCCUACGGGAGGCAGCAGUGGGGAAUAUUGGACAAUGGGCGCAAGCCUGAUCCAGCCAUGCCGCGUGUGUGAAGAAGGCCUUAUGGUUGUAAAGCACUUUAAGCGAGGAGGAGGCUACUUUAGUUAAUACCUAGAGAUAGUGGACGUUACUCGCAGAAUAAGCACCGGCUAACUCUGUGCCAGCAGCCGCGGUAAUACAGAGGGUGCAAGCGUUAAUCGGAUUUACUGGGCGUAAAGCGCGCGUAGGCGGCUAAUUAAGUCAAAUGUGAAAUCCCCGAGCUUAACUUGGGAAUUGCAUUCGAUACUGGUUAGCUAGAGUGUGGGAGAGGAUGGUAGAA